CUGAAGCGAAAAGGAUGAGGUAAUAGAAACUCUUAAUGAGAUCUAUACUCUGGAUCAGAGGAGUACCUAGCUUCAGGGGUACUUUAGAUAGACCCACCUAUAUGAAUGUGGAACUGAGGCCGGUUCCUAUGGAGUUUUGGGGCGAACUCCUAGAGCGUUCAUGAAACUGAGAUACACGUGCAGGGCCAUUAAAGCACGGGCUUUUAAGAUACACCUUAGGAAAGGUUGUGUGCGAGUUUGAGAAAAAUCUGAGAUAGAGUUCAAGACAAGCGUCACUCUUG
rnacentral:lncRNA from 1 species